AGGGUCAGGUAGACAGGUCAGGGUCAGGUAGACAGGUCAGGGACAGGUAGACAGGUCAGGGGCAGGUAGACAGGUCAGGGUUAGGAAGACUGACAGGUAGACAGGUCAGGGACAGGUAGACAGGGUCAGGUGAACAGGGUCCAGUCAUCAGCCUGCCAGCUAGACAGAUCACGGCCUACAGACUGGUCAGGUAGACAGGUCAGGGUCAACAGACAGGUCAGGUAGACAGGUCAUGGUCAAUAGAGUCUUUCUGCACCUGUGCAGGUAAAUAGUUCAAUAGGACAGCGGUUUUCAGGCUGUGUUUUUUAUUGGAGAUCUCUGUACAUUAGACUGUGUCCGUGCGUGCGUGGGGGUGGGUGCCUGUGCAUGCGUGUGUACCCCUUGGUGGUCAGCAUGAGGUCCAGCGCAGCAGGGAUGGCCCCCAGCAGGCUGCUGGAGCCCUCCGGAGCAGCAGAGCCGAUGCUGGAGAAGAUCUCCAGCAU